rnacentral:tRNA from 1 species
GGGAAUGUGGCUUAGCAGGAGAGUGCUUGCCUAGAAUGCAUGAAGCCCUGGGUUCAUUUCCUCAGUCCCA